ACGUAGGGAGCGAGCGUUGUCCGGAAUUACUGGGCGUAAAGGGCGCGUAGGCGGGGAUUUAAGUCAGAUGUGAAAGCCCCGGGCUUAACUCGGGGAGUGCAUUUGAAACUGGAUAUCUUGAGGGCAGGAGAGGAAAGUGGAAUUCCUAGUGUAGCGGUGGAAUGCGUAGAUAUUGGGAGGAACACCCGUGGCGAAGGCGGCUUUCUGGACUGUACCUGACGCUGAGACGCGAAAGCAUUUGGAGCAAACGG
rnacentral:rRNA from 1 species